GACUCGGUGGCUGAGUGGUAAAGCGCUUGGCUUUCAAACUUGAGGUCCCGGGUUCGAAACCUGGUGAAGACU
rnacentral:tRNA from 1 species